GAAGACACGGGCACAGACGCAGGGAAACGCAGCACAGCUGAGGAGGACGCACGAGAGACGUGAGGGGAGGAAGCAGAUGGAGCAGCGCGGCAUGAGACAGGAACGCUCACAUUAAGAGAAACGAGAGAAGUGGAUCUGUCUCUGUGUUUACUGCAUCGGACCUAAACAGGUAAUCUGUUCUCUGAACCUGUGCUUCAGCACAUCACAGCAUUAGCACCGAC